rnacentral:sRNA from 1 species
CUGACAGCCCUGGGAGACUGAAAGCCCUGUGUUUAUCCCCAGCAUGGAUACAACACAUCUAGCAAAAAAAGAAGCUCUCCAUGAGCUACUCUGUCAAUGUAUUUCAGCCCUGAUCUACUGAGACAGAAAAGCAUUCAGGACACUAGGAGUUAUUGUAGUCAUCCAGGCUAUGCAGUCCUUUGUCUUU